rnacentral:rRNA from 1 species
UACGAAGGGGGCUAGCGUUGCUCGGAUUGACUGGGCGUAAAGGGCGCGUAGGCGGUUCGUACAGUCAGACGUGAAAUUCCUGGGCUCAACCUGGGGGCUGCGUUUGAUACGUGCGGACUUGAGUGCGGAAGAGGGUCGUGGAAUUCCCAGUGUAGAGGUGAAAUUCGUAGAUAUUGGGAAGAACACCGGUGGCGAAGGCGGCGACCUGGUCCGGUACUGACGCUGAGGCGCGAAAGCGUGGGGAGCAAACAGG